UGAUGGUGACCUUAGUUCUCUGGUGCUGAGAGCUGCUUACAGCAAGCACCUGUGAACCCCAAGGAGCAUGAGGACAUCCUGAACAGAGGCCACCUCAGGGGAGCUGAAGGAGCAGGAGAGCAGCCCUGGUACACCCUGCCCAGGCUCACCUCCUCCCGCAGAACUAAGCCAGGGCUGAAAAGUUCCUUGAAAGAGGCUGCUCUUUGGAAGCCUUGCAUAUUUCUGAAGGCUGCCAAGAGAGUGUGCGGCUGAAACCAGAGUGAGGACCUAGGAGUUCAUUUUGUGAAGCUGUGACGAGUUUUCCAGUAGACCAUGAGCUUGCUGAUGGCAGGAGCCUGCCUGUCCUUGAUCCUUGUUUCUGUGGGGUCUGUCCCAGUGCCUGGCACAGUGGCUUUGGAGAUGGAAGGAAUAGAGGGAGCAGGUCCAAGAUCCAGACUCAAAGUAAUUGGGAUCACGUGGGACACCUGGAAGUCACAGCUCCCUAUGAUUUGGAUGCAGAUCCCACCUCUCUGGAUCCUGCCCAUCUGUAGACAGCAAUUGUACUUCUCUGGAAGAAGGUUCCAGUUCUCGUCCCUGAGCAGAUCCUCAAACACAGCCUGCAUCUCUCCCUGCUCCCCUCCCACCCUCCAGUUUUCCAGCCAGAGGCAUUUGCUCUAAGGCCCAGGCUGUGGCCCACCUAUCACCGCUACCCAAGUAGUACAGG
rnacentral:lncRNA from 1 species